rnacentral:misc_RNA from 1 species
GUGAAUCAUCAAAUUUUUGAACGCAAAUUGCACUCUCUUCGGAGAGUAUGCCUGUUUGAGGGUCAGCCUAAAAAAAAAAUCGACAUAGUCGUGGUUUCGCGGUGACAUUCGUCGGAAAUUGGGUAAUUUUAAACUUUUGGGUUUUAAGGGGUUUAAAAUUUUUUUUACGAUUCCACGAAGGUUUCUAAGAUUUACUUUUUUUACGUUUAAGGUAUCGAUCUUUAUUAGACGGGGCCGUUGAAU